GAUGAACGCUGGCGGCGUGCCUUAUACAUGCAAGUCGAGCGAACAGACGAGGAGCUUGCUCCUCUGACGUUAGCGGCGGACGGGUGAGUAACACGUGGAUAACCUACCUAUAAGACUGGGAUAACUUCGGGAAACCGGAGCUAAUACCGGAUAAUAUAUUGAACCGCAUGGUUCAAUAGUGAAAGACGGUUUUGCUGUCACUUAUAGAUGGAUCCGCGCCGCAUUAGCUAGUUGGUAAGGUAACGGCUUACCAAGGCAACGAUGCGUAGCCGACCUGAGAGGGUGAUCGGCCACACUGGAACUGAGACACGGUCCAGACUCCUACGGGAGGCAGCAGUAGGGAAUCUUCCGCAAUGGGCGAAAGCCUGACGGAGCAACGCCGCGUGAGUGAUGAAGGUCUUCGGAUCGUAAAACUCUGUUAUUAGGGAAGAACAAAUGUGUAAGUAACUAUGCACGUCUUGACGGUACCUAAUCAGAAAGCCACGGCUAACUACGUG
rnacentral:rRNA from 1 species